GUGAGUUGUUCAUGACUUCUGCCUCCUUAAAGCAUCCUUGGUGUAUUUUCCCCGGUCCUGAAUUCACCCCUUUUGAGAAAAUACAGGGCCCAUUGGCCACUGGCUUCCCAUGAACCUGUGGGCACCCAGCCUGCGCCCCAAGUAGAUGACUUCUAGCUCCCUGUGCCCUCCCCGUCCUGGGGCCUAUGGUGACGAAUAACCUUGCUUUUUCAGAAGCACUUUCCCAUCCCAGUUCAGAAAUCAACCUGAAAUUGCCCACUCCCAACUGUUUACCUUUCAUCAAAACGGGGAGGAGGGGAGUGGAGCUUUCUGUCAAAAUAGGUGUGUGUGUAGGGAUAUAUUAUAUUAUGUUUUUGCUGUUGUUCAGUUGCUCAGUUGUGUCCAACUCUUUGCAACCCUAUGAACUGUGUAGCCCACCAGUCUCCUCUGUCCAUGGGAUUCUCCAGGCAAGAAUACUGAAAUGGGUUGCCAUUUCCCUUACCAGGGGAUCUUCCCUACCCAGGGAUCAAACCCUCCUCUUCUGAAUCUCCUGCAUUGGCAGGCGGAUUCUUUACCACUGAGCCACCAGGGAAGCCCAUAUUAUAUUAUACAUAUAUC
ensembl:lncRNA